rnacentral:lncRNA from 1 species
CCUCCUUCCCUCCUCGCAGCCCCAAAACCCGCGACCCCUCUCCGACCCCUCCCGGCGCCCUCCCCUCCCCGCACCACCGCACCUUCCCAUCUCCCACCCUUCCCAACGCCCGCCUCGGCAGGGAUGCGGCCCUAAGACUUGCAGGAAGCGCGGGUUCGACCCCGGCGCCCUAGCAACCCCUGCCCUCGCCGCUCUAGAGAGCGGGUCUCCUGGCCGGGCCCUCCUGGGUCUCCGUAGCCGCGAUCGCCAGACGCGGCGAGCGGAAGGGCCCAGCCCCGCCCUCUCCGGGCACAUGACUCGGGCCUGGCCAUUCACAGUGCAGCAUCGUCCAGCCUUAGUGAUUGGGCCAUCGGAGAGCACGUGACAACAGCUAGGCCAAUUAGAGCUAGGCCAAUUAGAGACCACCCGUUUCUAUUUAUGGUGGAGCCGGCGAUCGGCGUGCGGUUGGAAGUGGUGUCCCUGAGGCACCUGCUCGCCCUUUUCCUGCGCCUCCGCAACGUCGGCUGCGAAUGAGUCUCCUAAAGGACGCCCGGGAGGAUCGGAAACAGCCGAGUCCCGGCGCGGGCAGUGUCCUGCGCUCCUCCCCGGGGUCUGGCCGGGGUGGGCCCGAGGCCCCCGGGCCCCCGGUUACCGCCGCGGGCGCGUCUGCGUCCUGACCCGGAGGGACCCGCGGGCCGGGCCGUACCAGUGAUGCAAGAUGGUCCUUUCUGAGCAGAGCUCCCCUCGCUCAGUGCUCCUUUGUUUCACGUAGAAGAUCUUCUUGAGGGGACUGUGUGGCCAGUGCAGCCCAGGCCUCCCCACCCUGCACCGUUCAACAGAAGAGCAGCUGACGCAGGGGGCCCUCAACAUGCUCACCCAAAAGUCAGCGAGAUUCUGCACCGGCCCACUAGCCUUCCAAUUGUAAACUAAAAAUAAAAUCUUGGCCAGGCACGGUGGCUCAUGCCUGUAAUCCCCGCACUUUGGGAGGCAGAGGCAGGUGGAUCACCCUGAGGUCAGGGGUUCGAGACCAGCCUGGCCAACAUGGCAAAACCCCGUCUCUACUAAAAAUACAUAAAAAUUAGCCAGGCGUGGUGGCACACACCUGUAAUUCCAGCUACUCGGGAGGCUGAGGCAGGAAAAUCGCUUGAACCUGGGAGGCAGAGGUUGCAGUGACCUGAGAUCGUGCCACUGCACUCCAGCCUGGGUGACAAUGAGACUCCAUCUCAAAAAAAAAAAAGAAAAAAAAAUCCUAAGCCCCCCAACUACUGAAAAGACCCCUCUUGGCCAAGGGGUCCCAGAGACACCUUAAAAACUGAGUUUCCAGCCAGACGUGGUGGCUCACACCUGUAAUCCCAGCAUUUUGGGAGGCCAAGGCGGGUGGAUCACCUGAGGUCAGGAGUUCGAGACCAGCCUGGCCAACAUGGCAAAACCCCGUCUCUACUAAAAAUACAAAAAAAUUAGCCAGGUGUGGUGGUGGAUGCUUGUAAUUUCAGCGACUCUGGAGGCUGAGGCAGGAAAAUUGCUUGAAUCUGUUUCAGUGAGCCAAGAUCGUACCACUGCACUCCAGCCUGGGCAACAGAGUGAGACUCCAUCUCAAAAAAAAAAGCCAAAAAACUGAGUUUCCAGCCGUGACGGGAUGGUAGGUCAGAGGCACCUCAUUCUACCCCCUCCCUUGUGUGGUUUAGACAGAAUUGACCGGUGUUCAUGUUAAAAUAGAGAUCAUAAGACUAAGAACAGGCUCUGUGGCAAUAAAAUACCAAAUUAUAAACAGGACCUCAGGCCAGGCCUGGUGAAAGUAAGUCGUGCAUCCCUGCACGUGAAGAAUCAACUCUGUUCUAAAGGCCGCAGGUUUCUCUUUUUCUGUAGCAGCUAAACAAGCACUAGCCUCAAGAUAAGCAGCAUUGAAACAACCGCAGCUCCUCCCCCUGCCGACCCUGGCCCCACACCCCUGCUCCACCAGCCGUAACUAGAGCUUUCCUUGGACAAGAGACUCGUUUCAGUAACUUUUCCCUGAUAAGAGACCCUGACCAUAGACGGGUUCUGGCUGGUUUACAGAGAUUGCACCCUCAUGUGCCUUCAUGUCCUGAAAGUACUUUUUGAGGUAUACCACCUAAUUGUAAUACGCUUACAUGCUGCCUUCACCCCAAGGUGAACAUGGGUCAUAUGUAACAUGCAUGUUUAUCCAGCACACGUGUCCGAAUAAACAUGCAUGUAUAUUCGCAACGCC